GUUUAUUUUUCUCCUUUGGUAGCACGCAGAGAGCCUCGCAGCACGUGAACACUAGUCAGCAUGGAGGAAGGCUCUAGCUAAUUCACGUAGGAGGGAAUGAUUACCUGGAUGUAGAAGACAAGCCUUCAGGAACUCGAUUCUUUCUCUGGAGGUUUACCACUUUUCUGGAGACUUCCACCAUUUCCUCACCUUCUGCCACUGUCCCCGAUGGCCUGGAGCCAGAGGAGCUGAAAUGGAAUCCAUAAUGUUUCAGUGGCUCCAUCCACAAUGACAGGUCUUCUAAAUAUCCUUUCAAACUCUAUCCCAUCUCUCCGGCUCCUGGGCAUCGGUCUUUGACAAGGAUCUUACACCUCAGAGCGUGGUGCCUCGCCUUAGCCAGUCCACAGGCAGGAAGCCUUCUGGGAUCCCAGCAUCCUGGAGGUCCAGGCGCAUGCGCUUUUCAUCCAUCAGCCUUCCAGAUGCUGUGAUGAUGACUCUGCAGUGUUAACUCGUCUAGGUUUAGGAUCACCAUAGAAGCACUCCGUGGAUGCAUCAUUUAUGAGGACGAUCUGAAAAGUUUUUUCCUCUUCGUGUGCGUGUGCAUGCUUUCACAUGUGUGAGGGUACAUUUGCACACACAAGCACAUACAUGUGGAACAGCCUUGGGUGCCAUUCCUCAGACCCUGUACCAAUUUCUUUUCUUUUCUCUCUCUCUCUCUCUCUCUCUCUCUCUCUCU